CAUUUUUUUCAUAGACAGUAAACUUUACUUUUAUUACCUUAAGUGAUGUUAUUGGAAGUUUUUCUGCACUCAUGAUAUUAUUUCAAGAUGGUAUUGGUACAUUUUUGAACUUUUGGAACUUGUAAGACACUGAAUUAGUCUUAUGUGAACUUUAACUUUUGAUGUCUCCUGUUUUAGAAAUAAAGUUGAGUCUUCAUUUAUUAUUUUUUACUUUGGAAACUGUACAAGAAGCGUGCUUUGGAUUUAAAUAGCCACCUUGUUGCCCGCUCAUGGUUGCCAGGGCGCCAGAGGGGGGUUGAACAAUUACCAUGAUGGAGCCUCUGGUGGCAUACGAAGGCGGGAGCUGUUUCCAGCAACUUCCUGGCUGACACAGACAGAAAGACAUACUGGAGUCAGUUUGACGCAGUGGCCCGUCGAUAUCUGCUCCACCCAGCCAUGUCGACACUGACUGUGACCUUCCGCGGAAUCAUUAACAUUCCCAAGUCACGCUUUGGCCCCCCUCCCAUCUCCAACUGCUUUCUUUCUCCCCUCAACCAUCCAUCUUUUCAUUUUCUUUUUUUAUUUUUCAUCUCCUUAAACCCUCCCACACCCCUCA